rnacentral:rRNA from 1 species
AACGUAGGAGACAAACGUUAUCCGGAGUUACUGGGCGUAAAGGGCGUGUAGGUGGUAGUGUAAGUCUGGCGUGAAAUUUUUCGGCUUAACCGGGAAAGGUCGUCGGAUACUGCACAACUAGAGGACGGUAGAGGCGUGUGGAAUUCCGGGUGUAGUGGUGAAAUGCGUAGAGAUCCGGAGGAACACCAGUGGCGAAGGCGACACGCUGGGCCGUACCUGACGCUGAGACGCGAAAGCGUGGGGAGCAAACAGG